rnacentral:rRNA from 1 species
UACAGAGGGGGCAAGCGUUUGUUCGGAAUUACUGGGCAUAAAGAGCACGUAGGCGGCACCGCAAGUGUGGGGUGAAAUCCCACGGCUUACCCGUGGAACUGCCUGGCAGACUGCGGUGCUAGAGGUUGGUAGGGGAGAGCGGAACUCUUGGUGGAGCGGUGAAAUGCGUAGAUAUCAGGAGGAACACCGGUGGCGAAGGCGGGUCUCUGGGCCGAUACUGACGCUGAGGAGCGAAAGCGUGGGGAGCGAACAGG